GAUGAACGCUGGCGGCGUGCCUAACACAUGCAAGUCGAACGGAAAGGCCCUGCGUUUGUGGGGUGCUCGAGUGGCGAACGGGUGAGUAACACGUGAGUAACCUGCCCUUGACUUUGGGAUAACUUCAGGAAACUGGGGCUAAUACCGCAUAGGAGCUCCUGCUGCAUGGUGGGGGUUGGAAAGUUUCGGCGGUUGGGGAUGGUCUCGCGGCUUAUCAGCUUGUUGGUGGGGUAGUGGCUUACCAAGGCUUUGACGGGUAGCCGGCCUGAGAGGGUGAACGGCCACAUUGGGACUGAGAUACGGCCCAGACUCCUACGGGAGGCAGCAGUGGAGAAUAUUGCGGAAUGGGCGGAAGCCUGAUGCAGCGACGCCGCGUGCGGGAUGACGGCCUUCGGGUUAUGAACCGCUUUCGCCUGUGACGAAGCGUGAGUGACGGUAAUGGGUAAAGAAGCACCGGCUAACUACGUG
rnacentral:rRNA from 1 species